rnacentral:lncRNA from 1 species
AGGAGUCACAGCUCCUGUCCUUGUAAGUAGACAGGCAGGAACAGCCUAUCAAAGUGACUUCAGAAGAUCCUCUAGUCUGUCGCUGCCAAUGCGCUGUCGUCUGGGAGCAGAGAACAGAGGAGUAUCCAGCUCUAUUCAAAACCCAAGAACUUUCUAGCUACUUAUUCAAGACAUUUGUGGUCUGUCUUCAGGAUCAGAAGAAUAGAUCAAAACCAGAAAAUUUUUGUGUGGAAUUGGUCUUUGGCAGCCCAGUGCUUCUGCUUACAUAUGUGGUAGACAAAGCUUCAGGAAUGAAAUGUGCAAC